AUGCAGUCGACGGUAGCAGGUCUUCGGAUGCUGACGAGUGGCGGACGGGUGAGUAACGCGUAGGAAUCUGCCUAUUAGUGGGGGACAACGUGUGGAAACGCACGCUAAUACCGCAUACGCCCUACGGGGGAAAGGAGGGGACUCGUAAGAGCCUUUCGCUAAUAGAUGAGCCUGCGUUGGAUUAGCUAGUUGGUGGGGUAAAGGCCUACCAAGGCGACGAUCCAUAGCUGUUCUGAGAGGAAGAUCAGCCACACUGGGACUGAGACACGGCCCAGACUCCUACGGGAGGCUGCAGUGGGGAAUAUUGGACAAUGGGCGAAAGCCUGAUCCAGCAAUACCGCGUGUGUGAAGAAGGCCUUAGGGUUGUAAAGCACUUUCAAUUGGGAGGAAAAAAUAGGCGUUAAUACCGUCUAUCUUGACAUUACCUUUAGAAGAAGCACCGGCUAACUCCGUGCCAGCAGCCGCGGUAAUACGGAGGGUGCGAGCGUUAAUCGGAAUUACUGGGCGUAAAGAGUGCGUAGGCGGCUCGUUAAGUCAGAUGUGAAAGCCCUGGGCUCAACCUGGGAACUGCAUUUGAAACUGGCGUAGCUCGAGUUGAGUAGAGGUAAGUGGAAUUUCAGGUGUAGCGGUGAAAUGCGUAGAUAUCUGAAGGAACACCAGUGGCGAAGGCGACUUACUGGACUCAAACUGACGCUGAGGUACGAAAGCGUGGGUAGCAAACAGGAUUAGAUACCCUGGUAGUCCACGCCGUAAACGAUGUCAACUAGCCGUUGGUUCUAUAUACAGAAUUAGUGGCGCAGCUAACGCAUUAAGUUGACCGCCUGGGGAGUACGGCCGCAAGGUUAAAACUCAAAUGAAUUGACGGGGGCCCGCACAAGCGGUGGAGCAUGUGGUUUAAUUCGAUGCAACGCGAAGAACCUUACCUACCCUUGACAUCCAGAGAAUCUGUUAGAGAUAGUAGAGUGCCUUCGGGAACUCUGAGACAGGUGCUGCAUGGCCUGUCGUCAGCUCGUGUCGUGAGAUGUUGGGUUAAGUCCCGUUAACGAGCGC
rnacentral:rRNA from 1 species